rnacentral:rRNA from 1 species
CUCUAUCAUACCACCCUGCACAUGCCUGACCUUAGCUGAUCUCAGAAGCUAUGCAGGGUCAGGCCUGGGUGAUACUCGGAUGGGAGAAUUCAAACAAAAUUAGAGG